UUUGGUGAUGAUGGGAGAGAGGUGACACCCGUUCGGAUACCGAACACGUAAGUUAAGCUCUCUAGCGCCGAUGGUAGUUGGGACCUUGUCCCUGUGAGAGUAGGACGUCGCCAAGC
rnacentral:rRNA from 1 species